CAGGAGGGCCCCUCACCCACCCGGGUCUGGGUGCCGGCCGGCUGGGCCUCGCUCGCUCCGGGUGUUUUCUGGGAAAACUUCUCCCAAAACGCCUGGAUUCAUCAAGCAGUCGGCCCAGCCUGCUGGACAAACCCAAUUCUCUCAGCCUUUCCUUGUUGGAGAGCUUCUUCAUCCCCAUCGUCAUCUUGGUGGCCCUCCUUUGGACUCAUUCCAACAGGUUGAUGUCCUUCAAGGAUUAAAUGAAGAUCCCUUCCAGCUCAAGCCAUUCCAUGGCUCUAUGAAAGAAGAGAACUGAGAAUCGGUGGGUGAGCACCAUCAACAUAAUGUAGGACUUUCACUUUGCAAAAUGGUUUGUGAGAAUGCAGUAUUCAAAGCUAUUCUCUUAGUGUUUGGUAGUUGGGUUUGGGUCAUAUUCGGCCAUCCUUCAAGAGAUGGGCUUAUCAACUAGAUGCUAGAUACCAUACCCAUGCUGAUAAGCACCCAAAUGAACGUAGGUCACAGGGGCUGGGGAUAAGCAGAUACCACCCAAACAUUAAUCCAGAUGAGCCAAUCAAUGUUUCUUACCAAGGCUGGAUGUGGGAAGGUCUGUCCCAAUUUCAUGGGGUCUGUAUAUUCAAAUAUGAACACUAAACAUUCAUUUUUCCUAGCUUGAUGGCUUUGGAUUUGGAAGAGGAGCUGUGGUUGCUCAUUAAUAGGAAGCAGCCACAUCUACACUGUUUCUAUAGAGUGAACUCUGAUUAGCCACAACAGCCUCCAACUCCACUAGUCAUUAAUGCCUCUUUUGUGUGGAACUGAAUUGGUGCUGUGGAUAUUUGUAGAUUUGGGUGGAGAAACAAUUACCAGAAACAGACCAAAGAGGAAAAGCAUGGGCUGACAAGGAGUGUGAAGGUUUCCCAAGGACUGCUAAAUUCCAGAGACCAUUCUACUGAAUUUACAAGAGCUGAUAAAAUCCAGGCACUCUGUGCAAGGCCUCAGGUGAAUAUUGGUAUCAACCCCUGGCUGUGGGACCGGAGGGCAGCAGCUCCUACAGGCAAAGCCUGGGGGAUCCUGGGUGCACCUAUUGAAAUAAGUCACUUUGAGGGACUUUCUGAACACCUGCUUGGAAGGUGCUAAUGCCAGCACAGCCCCCUACUGGAGUUGUCCCUGUGAGGGAAUAAGUGAAUCUUUGUGUAUUAUCUGCUAUUAAUAGUAACAACUUCCUCGAGUGAAAACCUUGAGUACUUCUGGCUGUCUCAUCCUAAACCCUUGUUGCACGGCCAAACAUUUUUUAAGCAAAUCAGGAAAAUUAAUCCCUUCUUUUCAUCUUCUCCUUGAGAUCCUCUGUCUUCCUUUUGAUUUCUGCACAGGGGUCUGCUUUCUUUCUUUUCCUCUACAGUCCUUCUUAGAACUGCAGUGGCCACAGAUCCAACUAGAGGCUAGUCUGAAGACUUCCCCAAAAGUGUGAACCUUAGUAAGGUAAAAACAAAAAAUUGUUAAUACUUUUAGAUUUCUAUAUUUGCCUCCACUGGCCUCUCUCAGUCUUAGCCAUCUCUACAUCACUAAUCCACCCAUUAGUUCUAGCAAAGUUUUCUGUCUUCCCUCUCAGGUUCCAGACCAGAUUUUCCUGCUUCUUUCCUGGCUGACUGAAUAGAGACAUCAGCGCACUCUUCCAACACCAUUUCUGUUUGUUUCUCACAGCUCUCUGCUAGUCUCCUACUCAGCCAGUAGAGCUGUAGUAGUUCACUCUGUAGCAAAGGUUAUUUCGGGUACUUUCUCUGAAGCAAAUAGUAGGAGUGGUAGUCAGCAUAAAUGUUUAAUAGGCCCUGAGAGCUAAGACUUUAAGAUGAAGCUUCUUUUGAAGCUACAUUUACAGCCUCUGCUCUCCCAGGCUUUGUAUAAUGAAAGCACCCCAGGCCACUGUGGUGUGGUUUUGGCAUGUGCUGUAGUUCCCCCCAAGCACCUUGGAUGGUUGUAAGCCUCAGAACCCCUUGACUCUCACUUCAAACACAGCCUUUGCCUCACCUUCUCUACCUUCUUAAUUUCCUGUAAAUCCAGAGCUCCAUGCAGGAGCAUCUGGCUCUGAUCUUUGAUACCCUCCCUCAAACACAGCCCCUCCCUCAUUUUUUUUCUCUGCCAAAUCGAGCAUAAACACCCACAAAUUUACUUUCAUCCUGUUCCAUGUGCCCGGAGUGGAAAAUCUCUUGGCUGUAAAUCUGGUGUCCUUGCUUUACAUAUUCAACAUAGGUUAGAAGAAGGGUGCUCCAAGCUGCUUUUGAGAUUGAGUUGAAGAAAACAUGCUUCCUACAUGUUGAGUUUCUCUCAGAGCUGUGGUCUGGCUUUUCUUUGCUGCUAUCUGCUUGAGCAGGGGUGGCAGCGGGGGCUGUUCUCCUUUAAUUCAUCCUUUUGUGCCAAAUGGAAUUCCUCAAAUAAUGGGGAAUAUUUCCUGUGGAGAAUGGCCAUCUCAGCAGAGGGAAGAAGGAAAAUGUACAGGCUGCUGAGCUUCAAAACCUGUGAUUGACAUUACCAAGGCUUCUGGGGAUGGGUCCAGUCUUUUCUCAUAAGAAGCCACGCAGCUUCUGGGGAGUCAAGAUUGUUUCCUGUUGGUGAGAUCCUUGUGGAGCUUCUUUUCCCCUGGCUCUGAGCUGUGUCUCAUAACAGCCCUGUGGAGGUGUUGGACUGUGGCUGUCAGUAUUCAGGGCUGGCCACAGCUGCAGUACAUGGCUUGGGGAUGUUUGGUAUUGAAUAUUCAAUUAUUUUAUGGAAGGAGGGGAAUUAUAAAAGUGUUAAAGCAACUGCAGCACUGCAGAGAAGUGUAGUGCCAGAACAGGACACCCAGUAAGGGCUGGGGUCAUGAAGGCUCAGACUAAGACUCUGCAGGCUCUGCAGAACCUUGGCUUUGGACUGGGCAAAACAAUGCUGGAGACCCCAGAGUUUGGUUUUGAUGAAAUCCCAUCGGAGGGUGCCAGUGAAGGAAGUCAGUAACCCAGCCCUCAACCCAGCCUGAGGAUUUGUCAAGGCAAAGGAAACAAUGGAGCUUCCAAGAAACAGUGGGGAAGGCAUCUGUAGCUCAAGCCCAAGGUCAAAGUUUAAGUACUUGUGCAUGCUGUGUGAGCAACACAAACCAACUACAUCUGGUGCUUGGGAGAAGAUGCAAGAACUGCACUGGUUUCAUCCCUUGAGGGAUUUGUAUGUGCCCGAGGAUUCCUGUGCUCAUGACAGUGAUGACAGUGUCAUAAAAUUUUUUUCCAUAUUGGCAGCCCCAAAGAGAAAGAAGGACACCUAUUUAUUGUGAAUUGAGUAUGUAAAUACACUGAUAAACAUUGGGCCAGGAAUAUAUCUAAGGCUUUUUAUUUGUACCCCUUAAAAACAGUACAGAUAAAUCCAUCUUUCUUGGAGUUAAGAAAACCUCGGACUCCUGCAGAAGCAUGAACUGAGUUCUGAUUCCUCCUAAAGACACAGCACUUGUCACUACCACUGUCAUUGCUGCAGCUACUAUUUUCCCUGAAGGCCACCAUCACUGGAGAAUUCCUGGAUGUUUGUGACUCCAUAGACAUUGAGUCAUUUGAGUUGUUAAAUUAUCAAAGCAUGGGACUGUAAUUGUGAGCAUCUUGUGAACUGAGUGACUUAAGUCCCCAGCAUCCCUGCACAACCCAAAAACUGGAAAAGACAAAUUUGUGGUGGUGGAGCAUGGGGGGGAUGUUUGGAAAGUAAAAAGCCCUUUGUCUCAUCAAGAGGAUGCAUUCAAUAUUUGUA